GGCAGCAGUGGGGAAUAUUGCACAAUGGGCGCAAGCCUGAUGCAGCCAUGCCGCGUGUAUGAAGAAGGCCUUCGGGUUGUAAAGUACUUUCAGCGGGGAGGAAGGGUUCAGCUUGAACAGAGCUGGAUUUUGACGUUACCCGCAGAAGAAGCACCGGCUAACUCCGUGCCAGCAGCCGCGGUAAUACGGAGGGUGCAAGCGUUAAUCGGAAUGACUGGGCGUAAAGCGCACGCAGGCGGUCAAUUAAGUU
rnacentral:rRNA from 1 species